GAUGAAGAACGUAGCGAAAUGCGAUAAGUAAUGUGAAUUGCAGAAUUCAGUGAAUCAUCGAAUCUUUGAACGCACAUUGCGCCCGCCAGUAUUCUGGCGGGCAUGCCUGUUCGAGCGUCAUUACAACCCUCAGGCCCCCGGGCCUGGCGUUGGGGAUCGGCGAGGCGCCCCCCGCGGGCACGCGCCGUCCCCCAAAUACAGUGGCGGUCCCGCCGCAGCUUCCAUUGCGUAGUAGCUAACACCUCGCAGCUGGAGAGCGGCGCGGCCAUGCCGUAAAACACCCAACUUCUGAAUGUUGACCUCGAAUCAGGUAGGAAUACCCGCUGAACUUAAGCAUAUCAAUAAGCGGAGGA
rnacentral:misc_RNA from 1 species